rnacentral:rRNA from 1 species
UGCGUAGGCGGGUCUUUAAGUCAGGGGUGAAAUCCUGGAGCUCAACUCCAGAACUGCCUUUGAUACUGAGAUCUUGAGUUCGGGAGAGGUGAGUGGAACUGCGAGUGUAGAGGUGAAAUUCGUAGAUAUUCGCAAGAACACCAGUGGCGAAGGCGGCUCACUGGCCCGAUACUGACGCUGAGGCACGAAAGCGUGGGGAGCAAACA